rnacentral:lncRNA from 1 species
AGUAUCCUUGAAAGCCAGAAGAGGGUGCUAGACUUCUAGAACUGGAGUUAAAGGUGGUGGUGAGCCACCCUGCAGAUGCCAGGAACUGAAUCUGGGUCCUUUGGACAAGCAGUUGUUUAGUCUGGUUCUACUGCUGUGAUAGAACACUAUGGCCAAAAGCAGUUUGGAGAGGAAAGGAUUUAUUUUGUCCUGACAGUGUAUCAUCCAGGGAUGUCAGGGCAGGGACUGGAGGUGGGAACUGAUGCACACGCACAGAGUGCCGCUUCCUGGCUUGCUCAGCCUGCUUUCUUAUACUCCAAGGACCUCCUGCCCACAGCAAUACCAUCUCUAGUGAGCUGGGCCUGCUCAGACCAGCCAUAAUUAGAAAAUGCACUACAGACGUGCCUAAAAGCAAACCCUACAGACACAUUUUCUCAAUUGAGAAUCCCUCAUAACAAAUGACUGUAACUUGUGUCAUGUUGACAGAAACUAACCAGGACAAACAAAGUGCUUUUCACUGCUGCUCCAUCUUUCAGUCUCCCAUAAUUGAGACUUUGGCCAAGAGCUUUGAAGGUUCCUCACAUUCACACUGUGGUCUGGGAACAGUACCCAGAUGGAUAGUGUUAGAAUCCUCAAGGGGGGCUGACCCACAUCCCUCUAUUCCUCUUGCCUGAGUUUUGAUUGUGAUUUUUGCCUUGGUUGUCUGAUUUCUUCAGCAAGUUUCCUGGGUUUGAAGGUGUCAUAGGUGUUCUAUUUCUCUAUAGGUGGUAGGUUGUCUCCUCCCUUACAUAACUUGGAGAACAUCUGAGCAGUCUGGAAUGCUUAAGACAGACAUGUUUUCUUUCCUUCAGAAACUUGAAGACACAGUUCUGCGGUCCUUUUGCGCUUGUUGGGUAUUUCUGUGUUCAUUAGUAGUCUGCUGUGUGUGCUGUGUAACUUGUUUUAUUACUCAACUGCUUGCACAGUUCUUAAUUCUUAAAGUUCAGCAGCAAUAUUUCCAGUUGUGUGUAUGAGUCUCUCUAUGUCUCUCAUGCACCUUUGUUACCUAGACUCCAAACUCAUGGUAUAUAGCAGAAGAGCAAUAGAGACAGAACACCAAACACAUGGUGUUCCUCAACAUUCUCUGAUGGGUACCGAGGAAAAUGAAGAAUAGCGAAUCUAAUAGCUAGCAUUUUUAAUAUUUAAAGUAUUAAAAAGUGGAAAGUAAGCCCUUUGCUGUUGUGUCAUGCAGUGCUUGCUCUCCUGAGAUGCAGGGCAAGUGUUGUCCCUGGUGUGGGGAGUCCUUCUAGUCCCUUCUAAUUCUGGAUGGAUGUCAGACAUUUGAUACUUUGCUCUCUUAGUGUCAUGAAAUAUGUCUAGAAUUUCCUUUGUAGGAUUACUUUCUCUGACAUCUUUAACUCUUUGUCAUAACCAGUUUCUUAAAUUACAUUGAUAAUUUGGCCAAUGUAUUUCAUAUAAUUGAGAAAGAAUGAAUUCUUUAAAAAGCAGACUUUAUAGAAUUGACAUUUGGGGGAACAAAUAGCAUUAAACAUUUGAAACAAAAUAAAUUCCAUGUAGAGAAAACAAUUUUAGAGUGUGUGUAUAUAUGUGUGUAUACACAUAUAUGUGUGUACAUGUAUAUGUGUGUGUGCAUGUAUGAGUGUAUGUAUAUGUGUAUGAGUAAUGUGUCUAGGGCCCAGAGUAGCCUGGUGUAGCAUUCCUGGAACCCAGAAACCAUGAAGGAAGAAAUGAGUAGAUUUGCCUACUUAAAGCUUAUAGUGAAAACACU